ACGGCUCAGUAACACGUCAAUAAUCUGCCCUUAGGUUCAGGAUAACCUUGGGAAACUGAGGCUAAUACUGAAUAGGGGAAAGAAUUGGAACAUUCUUUCUUUAAAACAUUAGGCCUAAGGAUGAGUUGGCGGUCGAUUAGGUAGUUGGUGGGGUAAAGGCCCACCAAGCCGAAGAUCGAUAGGGGUCUUGAGAGAGAUAGCCUCGAGAAGGGCACUGAGACACUGGCCCUAGCCCCACGGGGUGCAGCAGGCGCGAAAACUCUACGAUGCACGAAAGUGUGAUAGGGGGACCCUAAGUGCUUGGUUAUACCAGGCUUUUGCCAAGCGUAAAUAACUUGGCGAAUAAGUGGUGGGUAAGACGGGUGCCAGCCGCCGCGGUAACACCCGCGCCACAAGUGGUGUUCGUUUUUAUUGGGCCUAAAGCAUCCGUAGCCUGAUCGGAAAGUCCUUGGUGAAAUCCGGCAGCAAACUGUCGGGCUGGCCAGGGAUACUUUCGGUCUAGGGAAUGGAAGAGGUGCGGGGUACGCUGGAGGUAGGGGUAAAAUCCUUUAAUCUCCCGCGGACCACCUGUGGCGAAGGCGCCGCACUAGGACAUAUCCGACGGUGAGGGAUGAAAGCUAGGGGAGCGAUUGGGAUUAGAUACCCCAGUAGUCCUAGCUGUAAACGAUGCCCGUUUGGCGUUGCACGUCUUUAGUGGAUGUGCAGUGCCGGAGCGAAGGCGUUAAACGGGCCGCCUGGGGAGUACGGUCGCAAGACUGAAACUUAAAGGAAUUGGCGGGGGAGCAC
rnacentral:rRNA from 1 species